CAGCCAUGAGAACAUCUUAUGGAUUCUUACUUAAUUAUCAAAAGAUGGUUCUCAUAGUGGGAGUUGUACAAGUGAUCCUUAGACCUGAGAUCACUAUGGUACCUUGUGCACUUGAAGCUAUGUUUUGGUUUAUCCUCAUUCACGACAUUGUGUUGUGUACGGGGUAUUCUAGAUAUGGUGGAUUUUGUACGAAGGUUGUGAGUAGGUCAACAAGGAAUCAGUCACUUCUAGUAAGAGAAGGUAAC
rnacentral:lncRNA from 1 species